GGAUGUGAGGAUGAUCUGGCUGUGACAUCUGUCACCCCAUUGAUGGCCAGGGUUGAUUCAGUUGAUCUGGCUGGCUAGGCAGAUGUCCCCUUCCUUCCUCCCCACUCCAUGUGCACCUUUCUGGAAGCUGCAUGCUCAGUUGAAGAGGACAACCUUCCCCAACAGAGGAGGACCAUUCUUCGGCCAAGGGUAUACCAGUACCUGCCCUCCCCUGCUGGAACCUCCAGACAUGCUAUCCAGGUCCAUUUGUAGGAGAAUGUCAGGCGGUCAAGUUUCCAAGACUCCAGACACAACAGAUUGAGGCCCUACCUGUGGCAGUCUGCCUUAAAAC
ensembl:misc_RNA 7SK 7SK RNA